UCAGCUCAGAACUGGUACGGAC
rnacentral:snRNA from 1 species